GCUCCUAUAGCUCAGCUGGCAGAGCGCAAGACUGAAGCCUAAUUCGCCUUCACUAGGAUUCAACAGUCCUUCUUGAGGUCACCUGUUCGAACCAGGUUGGGAGCA
rnacentral:tRNA from 1 species